AUUGAACGCUGGCGGCAGGCCUAACACAUGCAAGUCGAGCGGAUGAAGGGAGCUUGCUCCUGGAUUCAGCGGCGGACGGGUGAGUAAUGCCUAGUAAUCUGCCUGGUAGUGGGGGAUAACGUCCGGAAACGGGCGCUAAUACCGCAUACGUCCUGAGGGAGCAAGUGGGGGAUCUUCGGACCUCACGCUAUCAGAUUAGCCUAGGUCGGAUUAGCUAGUUGGUGGGGUAAAGGCCUACCAAGGCGACGAUCCGUAACUGGUCUGAGAGGAUGAUCAGUCAGACUGGAAGUGAGACACGGUCCAGACUCCUACGGGAGGCAGCAGGGGGGAAUAUUGGACAAUGGGAGAAAGACUGAUCCAGCCAUGGCGUGUGAAGAAGGUCUUCGGAUUGUAAAGCACUUUAAGUUGGGAGGAAGGGCAGUAAGUUAAUACCUUGCUGUUUUGACGUUACCAACAGAAUAAGCACCGGCUAACUUCGUG
rnacentral:rRNA from 1 species